UGUAUUUAAAAUAAAAAAUUACUUACAUAAGUAAUUAAAAAAAAUAACUUGUUUAAGUAACGCCCCUGACUGCUCAUUAAAGAUUUCAAACAUCGACGUCACUAAAGAAAGAUACUUUCAAAGGUAAAUUCAAAUGCAUUAUUAGAAAACAAGCUGAUAACACCAUUGCUAAAAAAAAAGAAAUGUCAAACAGACAAACAACAGUACACGAAUCAGUACACAACAUUGACAACUAAAUAAUGAGAAGCGCGAAUACAAACAAAACCUGCAGGUGCUCCAGAAGGUAAGCAAAUUCUGUGGCACCCGACGUAUUACUCACGUUUUAAUCCCAG
rnacentral:lncRNA from 1 species